AGUCUUGAAGGAUUAACAGGUGCAAUGUUUUCUACAUCCCGUCCACGUGGACUUCUCAUGCUCGGGAAACACCAACUUGACGGUCUACUCCGAAGAUGGGCACCUUCCAGAGGAGGAGACGUCCCAACCAACGAAGAUAAGAGAAUUGGAGAUCAAGCUGGAAGCAGUCAUGGAUGACAGGCGGCAUGUAAUGCAGGAAAACAGGGAACUACGUGCUGAGAUCAUGGACCUGCGCUCCGUUGUGAGGCGUCUGGUACAAGAGCUCGGCCGCCAUGGCCACAGAGCUGCAGUGAGAAAUCGUCAUGAUAACCAGUAACUGGCGGUGGAAGAUCCAAACCAGCAGAAUUUAUCAUUGUUGUGGCACUGUGAACAUCUACCUAAGUAAAAGGAAAAUUGUGCAUCCCAUGCAAACAAUCUGACUGAGAAGAGUGUUGCCUAUAUGUCAAGCGGCUUCAUGUUGAACGUGACAAAGUACCAACAAGGUGGACACAAUAGAACGAUAUCAUAGGUCUGUCAUUUUUAGUAAACACAAAUGAGUGUGACUCAUUCAUGGCAGGUGUUGUGGGAUUUUGUACACCAAAUACUUGUACGCCAGUUAUUGUUCUUUCAAUAGAAAUUGAAUGAGUACAUGUGAUUUGCUGUGAGAUACCCUAGUUUAAGGAAGGAUUAUUGUUGUGAUAGUAGUUUUAAGUAUACAUGUACACAUAAAAGGGAUUUAAUAUCUACAGCCCAAUAUAGCUACCAUGUAAACGAGCAUUAUUAUACAGCCAGAUGACGUUGACCAAUGACAAGGCGCCAUUUUACAUAACCAACAGUAAGUAUUGCUCUAUAUCUUAAUAAUGAUAUAAUGAAAAAUAUUUAAAUGCAUUAUUAUAUAGCCAAAUGACGUCGAGCAAUUACAAGGCUCAAUUUUGCUACCAUUAAACACUGUUAUCAUUGUCCCAUAUAACCACUUCUGUUCUGAGGGUUGUACCAUGUGUAGAAUGAGACGUGGUCUAGUAGCAAAACUAAUAUUGAUCAAAUCUGAAUAGAAUGUUCUUUCAUA